GCCAGUAUGGCAUAGUGGUUUGUGCGCUUGGCUACAACUCUGGAGACUAGGGUUCAAAUCAUCACUUAGCCA